rnacentral:rRNA from 1 species
UACGUAGGGGGCUAGCGUUGUCCGGAAUCAUUGGGCGUAAAGAGCGUGUAGGCGGCCAGGUAGGUCGGUUGUGAAAACUGGAGGCUCAACCCAGAGCCUGCAUCCGAAACUGGAGUGCUAGAGUUCUGGAGGGGGUAGCGGAAUUCCUGGUGUAGCGGUGAAAUGCGUAGAUAUCAGGAGGAACACCGGUGGCGAAGGCGGCUACCUGGACAGAAACUGACGCUGAGGCGCGAAAGCUAGGGGAGCAAACAGG